rnacentral:rRNA from 1 species
GACGAACGCUGGCGGCGUGCUUAACACAUGCAAGUCGAACGGAAAGGCCCUGCUUUUGUGGGGUGCUCGAGUGGCGAACGGGUGAGUAACACGUGAGUAACCUGCCCUUGACUUUGGGAUAACUUCAGGAAACUGGGGCUAAUACCGGAUAGGAGCUCCUGCUGCAUGGUGGGGGUUGGAAAGUUUCGGCGGUUGGGGAUGGACUCGCGGCUUAUCAGCUUGUUGGUGGGGUAGUGGCUUACCAAGGCUUUGACGGGUAGCCGGCCUGAGAGGGUGACCGGCCACCUUGGGACUGAGAUACGGCCCAGACUCCUACGGGAGGCAGCAGUGGGGAAUAUUGCCCAAUGGGCGGAAGCCUGAUGCAGCAACGCCGCGUGCGGGAUGACGGCCUUCGGGGUGUAAACCGCUUUCGCCUGUGACGAAGCGUGAGUGACGGUAAUGGGUAAAGAAGCACCGGCUAACUACGUG